UUCCGGUUGAUCCUGCCGGAGGUCACUGCUAUUGGGAUUCAACUAAGCCAUGCGAGUCGAGAGGGUUCGGGCCUCGGCUGACGGCUCAGUAACACGUGGAUAAUCUACCCUAAGGUGGAGGAUAACCUCGGGAAACUGGGAACAAUACUCCAUAGGUCUAGGAUGUUGGAAUGCACUUAGGUUUAAAACUCCGGUGCCUUGGGAUGAGUCUGCGGACUAUCAGGUUGUAGUCGGGGUAAUGACCUGACUAGCCUACGACGGAUAUGGGUUGUGAGAGCAAUAACCCAGAGAUGAUAUCUGAGACACGAUAUCAGGCCCUACGGGGCGCAGCAGGCGCGAAAACUUCACAAUGUGCGAAAGCACGAUGAGGGAAUCCCAAGUGCUUGCACGUAAGUGUAAGCUGUUUCUUUGUUUAAAACGCAUAGAGAGUAAGAGCUGGGUAAGACGGGUGCCAGCCGCCGCGGUAAUACCUGCAGCUCGAGUGGUGGCCGCUAUUAUUGGGCCUAAAACGUCCGUAGCCGGUUUAAUAAAUGCCUGGGUAAAUCGUGUAGCUUAACUAUACGAAUUCCGGGUAGACUGUUAAACUUGAGAUCGGGAGAAGUCAGAGGUACUCCUGGGGUAGAGGUGAAAUUCUGUAAUCCUAGGGGGACCACCGGUGGCGAAGGCGUCUGACUAGAACGAGUCUGACGGUGAGGGACGAAGCCCUGGGGCGCAAACCGGAUUAGAUACCCGGGUAGUCCAGGGUGUAAACGCUGCUUGCUUGAUGUUAGUUGGGCUCCGAGCCCAAUUAGUGUCGGAGAGAAGUUGUUAAGCAAGCUGCCUGGGAAGUACGGCCGCAAGACUGAAACUUAAAGGAAUUGGCGGGGGAGCACAGCAACGGGUGGAGCGUGCGGUUUAAUUGGACUCAACGCCGGAAAUCUC
rnacentral:rRNA from 1 species